rnacentral:rRNA from 1 species
AACGUAGGUCACAAGCGUUGUCCGGAAUUACUGGGUGUAAAGGGAGCGCAGGCGGGAGAACAAGUUGGAAGUGAAAUCCAUGGGCUCAACCCAUGAACUGCUUUCAAAACUGUUUUUCUUGAGUAGUGCAGAGGUGGGCGGAAUUCCCGGUGUAGCGGUGGAAUGCGUAGAUAUCGGGAGGAACACCAGUGGCGAAGGCGGCCUACUGGGCACCAACUGACGCUGAGGCUCGAAAGUGUGGGUAGCAAACAGG